GGUGAAAGUUCAUUAUCCUGUGUCAAAUGCAAGUGCAACUUGCCCCAAAUCAGCACCAUUAUGGCAUCACAGUUUUUUCCUCAUCCCAUGAUCACAUAAAUGGCAGAUUGACUUCUGGAACCAGGACCUGGUAGAUACUAGAGUGGACCCCAUAAAUUGAAAUCCCAGAGAUGCAGAAAUUCAAUCUCCCAACUCCAGGGUCUGCAAAAUACUUAAAGGAUAUGAAAGAAAAACAAAUACUUUUUCAAAAAGGCAUCAACUGACCUGCUACUCUGACAAACAACAUUUUCUCCGACCUUUCAAAUUCACGUGUUCUACAUAUGAAAUGAAAAGUAUUCUUCAAAGGACCUCAGAAGAACUACUGCACAAAAGGAAGUAUUGCUUCAACUGGAAUUUUUAUAAGAUCAAUGUAGGGAAAGAAAAAUAUCCCUUUUGUCUCUACUAUGUACAAACCUUAUCUGUUAAGGAUAUAGUGUAAGUAGGGAAUUGUAUUUUCAAAAGAGCUAAUGCAUGUUGGAAAUAUAAGUGAAGAAGAGCUUAACAGUAAUUUAGAAUGGGCUUCUGUGUCCUACAGAAUGUUUAUUGUGAGCAAACUUCCUUAAGUGUGGUUGAUACAUGUUAUAUUUAACAAAAUUAUAUUGCCUCCACUAGAAGAAGUCAAGAAAGAACCACAAAAUUCCAGUGCUGUAGGUGGCCCACUUAUUUGGCAUCCACACCUCCCACACUACAGCUCUGUUACGUUCCUGGAGCUAGGAAGGGGUUCCAGGUAUGUGGGUGCUUUGGAUAAGAUCUCCAGUUUUCUAGAUACCUUGUCACUACUGUAAUGAGUUAGAAAGAUUCUUAGAGUUCUGCAAGUUUCCAGUGAGUUGCACACAAACCCCUUCCUCAAUCUCAAAUAACCACCUCUAAAACCAUCUAUGUAACAUGAAAUCCUCUGUUUAACCUUUAUGUGAAUCCCAUCAAGAUUAUCCCCAGUUGUCUAGGCAUCAAAGGUGCUGACCCCAUCUCCCCACACUCAACUUGCGACAUCCUUCCAAUGUACUUUCUACAAUUUUUAAUGAAUAAGCAUUAAAGUCUUGAACCUUCCAACUC
rnacentral:lncRNA from 1 species